rnacentral:ncRNA from 1 species
CAAUCGGGGUGCUGCCGGAACGGUUCCGGAUGCUGAGAAAAAACCCGUCAAACCUGACCAGGGUAAUGCCUGCGUAGGAAAGGAGUGAAA